CAGUAGGUCACGAGUUUGAUCCUGGCUCAGAAUCAACGCUGGCGGCGUGCCUCAGACAUGCAAGUCGAACGAUUAAAGCUUCCUUCGGGAAGUGUAUAGAGUGGCGUACGGGUGAGUAACACGUAAGUAAUCUACCCUUGGGUGGGGAAUAACUUAGGGAAACCUAAGCUAAUACCGCAUAAUGCAGCGGCUCCAUAUGGAGACAGUUGUUAAAGCAUUUAUGUGCCUAAGGAGGAGCUUGCGGCAGAUUAGCUAGUUGGUAAGGUAAUGGCUUACCAAGGCGACGAUCUGUAGCCGGUCUAAGAGGACGGUCGGUCACACUGACACUGAAUAACGGGUCAGACUCCUACGGGAGGCAGCAGUCGGGAAUUUUGGGCAAUGGGCGAAAGCCUGACCCAGCAACGCCGCGUGAAGGAUGAAGUAUUUCGGUAUGUAAACUUCGAAAGUAUGGGAAGAAUAAAUGACGGUACCAUACAUAAGCUCCGGCUAACUACGUG
rnacentral:rRNA from 1 species